ensembl:lncRNA
GUCCUGCGUCUCAGGGGUUAGGGCCUGGCCCGGGAGCAGUAUGUCCUACGUCUCAGGGAUUAGGGCCUGGUCCGGGGGGAGCAGUAUGUCCUGCGUCUCAGGGAUUAGGGCCUGGUCUGGGUGGAGCAGUAUGUCCUGUGUCUCAGGGAUUAGGGCCGGGUCCAGGGGAGCAGUAUGUCCUGCGUCUCAGGGAUUAGGGCCUGGUCCAGGUGGAGCAGUAUGUCCUACGUCUCAGGGAUUAGGGCCUGGUCCGGGGGGAGCAGUAUGUCCUGCGUCCAGGGAUUAGGGCCUGGUCCGGGGGGAGCAGUAUGUCCUACGUCUCAGGGAUUAGGGCCUGGUCCGGGUGGAGCAGCAUGUCCUGCGUCUCAGGGGUUAGGGCCUGGCCCGGGGGAGCAGUAUGUCCUACGUCUCAGGGAUUAGGGCCUGGUCCGGGGGGAGCAGUAUGUCCUGCGUCUCAGGGAUUAGGGCCUGGUCCGGGGGAGCAGUAUGUCCUGUGUCUCCAACUCGUUGAAGUAGAAAUCUUCAUAUAAAUCAAGGUUAGUGAUCGCUGUUCUGAUGUCCAGAAGCUAUUUUUGGCAGUAAUAAAUAAAUAAAUAAAUAGCAGAAUUAGUCAGGAGCCCAUAAAACAGCUGUGCCAUUCUCAUACCAAUAAUGUCUGUGCUUGAUUGAGCCUGUUGCAAUGAAACCAAUAGAAACAUCCUGCUCACCUUAAACUCAAGGAAGGCUAAAGUAAAGUAUUUGAAAGAUUUCCAAUAGUGUUUGAACCCAGGUCUGCUACCUUGGGACAUUACUAAAACAUUGUCUGCCCCCACCUCUCUCUUUCUAUGCACUGCCACUGUGCAUCUAUAGGUCGGAGACUGUCAAGGAAUAGCCGCACCAGAGGAGAACCUGCCAGUUCCCCCAGUGUCUGCAGCAGGAACACCCCAGUGAAAGAACCCAUGUGAGAGGACUUAAGACACCAUGCAGAUCCACAGAACUAUGAAGCUCCUACAGACAUAUAGGGUGAUCCAAACAUACAGUUGAACUCGGAAGUUUACAUACACUUAGGUUGGAGUCAUUAAAACUCGUUUUUCAACCUCUCCACAAAUUUCUUGUUAACAAACUAUAGUUUUGGCAUCUACUUUGUGCAUGACACAAGUAAUUUUCCCAACAAUGGUUUACAGACAGAUUAUUUCACUUAUAAUUCACUAUAUCACAAUUCCAGUGGUUCAGACUGUGCCUUUAAACAGCUUGGGAAAUGAUGUCAUGGCUUUAGAAGCUUCUGAUAGGCUAAUUGACAUCAUUUGAGUCAAUUGGAGGUGUACCUGUGGAUGUAUUUCAUACAAUCAUACACUGGAUUUAAUUUAUUUUCAAUAAAUUAUGAAUUAUGUGAACUUGCCUAAAACAUGUGCAAGUCUGUGUGCAAUAUUUGGAAGGGUAAAACAGAAGAACACUGACCCUCUGCUUAUCCGAGCGCAAAGGAAACAGCUGUCAGUAGUUGUGAAGGAGAGGAAGUCAUGUGACCAGGCGAUUUGAUUUGAGUUUAUUAAAGACCUGACACAUGAGAGUGA